CAGAACACCAUCUUGUGCUAGAAGACCCUUAGGACCACCUCCAUUAUCCAAGCAAAACCAGCAGCCCCCCACGCCGCUGGUCAGAGCAGCGGAGGAGAAGGCAACCGCGGAGCCGCCUACACGAAAGCGUCACUGGGCCUCACCGCUCCGGCUCACGCCCGACCAUGGCUAGAAAAGCCACGACAACCAGCGCCCCGAUCCCCCACACGACAACCGAAGGUAGCGAUGAGGCCAUGGCCAGGAUUAAAAGAUUCCCCAAAUCCAGUCGCCUUUGCUAGAUCAUCACCGUAGAGGAUCUCCGCUGGCACCCCCGCGCAGGGGCGCCGCCUUGAUCGCCGUGCGUUAACUACCAUUCCCACCGCCCUAGCAGCUCUUUCGUUCGCCUCCAAGGCACCACCAACCCCAGUCAUCUUCGGCAGUUGGGUCCGCCGCCAUCGUGGCGAGGGCCAGCGAAGGGAGUCGGCGAGGGGAGGGCUUCUGGCG
rnacentral:lncRNA from 1 species